rnacentral:rRNA from 1 species
UACGUAGGCAGCGAGCGUUGUUCGGAAUUCCUGGGCGUAAAGAGUGUGUAGGCGGUGUUCCAAGUUCGGUGUGAAAUCUCCCGGCUUAACUGGGAGGGUGCGCCGAAAACUGGAAUGCUCGAGCGUGGGAGAGGAAAGCGGAAUUCCUGGUGUAGCGGUGAAAUGCGUAGAUAUCAGGAGGAACACCAGCGGUGUAGACGGCUUUCUGGACCAUUGCUGACGCUGAGACACGAAAGCGUGGGUAGCAAACAGG